GUUUUUUCUCAGGCAGCAAUGUCUGAGAAACGUUCACUGUGAACAAAUCAGGACGCUUAGAGUAUGGUUACAAGAAUGACUCAGCGCAGUAUGAAUUUUUUGUUUUCUUCGGAAAACAAGCUCAACGAGAGCCAUCGGGGGUAGAUCUAUCUCAUGACGAGUGGUGGAAUACGGUGACUCAUGAGAGAGACACGGAGGCGAAGGCGUCUACCUAGAGGGUUUCUGUCGAUCAAGGGCGAGAGUAGGAGUAUCCAACAGGAUUAGAGACCCUGGUAGUUCCUACUAUAAACGAUGCCGACAGGAGUUUGUCAUUUUAUAAUGGCAGAAUCUUUGGAGAAAUCAUAGUUCUUGGGCUCUGGGGGAACUACGACCGCAAGGCUGAAACUUGAAGGAAUUGACGGAAGGGCACACCAGGGGUGGAGCCUGUGGCUUAAUUUGAAUCAACACGGGGAAACUUACCAGGACCAGAUGUUUUUUAUGACUGACAGGCUUUGGGUCUUUCAGGAUAUGAUUUUUGGUGGUGCAUGGCCGUUGGUGGUGCGUGGGUUGACCUGUCUAGCGUUGAUUCAGCUAACGAGCGAAAUUAUCGCCAAUUAUAUACUACGCCUAGGUUUCUAGGUUGC
rnacentral:rRNA from 1 species